rnacentral:rRNA from 1 species
GACAGAGGAGCCAAGCGUUGUCCGGACUGACUGGGCGUAAAGCGCCCGCAGGCGGCCGCGCAAGUCGAGUGUGAAAGCCCCGAGCUUAACUUGGGAAUUGCGCUCGAAACUACGUGGCUGGAGUGUGGCAGAGGAAGGUGGAAUUCCACGUGUAGCGGUGAAAUGCGUAGAGAUGUGGAGGAACACCAAUGGCGAAGGCAGCCUUCUGGGCCGAACACUGACGCUCAUGCACGAAAGCGUGGGGAGCAAACAGG